rnacentral:misc_RNA from 1 species
GAUGAAGAACGCAGCGAAAUGCGAUAAGUAAUGUGAAUUGCAGAAUUCAGUGAAUCAUCGAAUCUUUGAACGCACAUGGCGCCCCCUGGUAUUCCGGGGGGCAUGCCUGUCCGAGCGUCAUUACAACCCUCAAGCUCAGCUUGGUGUUGGGCCCCGCCGCCCCGGCGGGCCCUAAAGUCAGUGGCGGUGCCGUCCGGCUCCGAGCGUAGUAAUUCUUCUCGCUCUGGAGGCCCGGCCGCGUGCCCGCCAGCAACCCCCAAUUUUUUUCAGGUUGACCUCGGAUCAGGUAGGGAUACCCGCUGAACUUAAGCAUAUCAAUAAGCGGAGGA